GGGUCACUGACAGCCUUUCUCGGCUUUUUCUCUCAUCUCCAGUCUCCACACAUUACUUUCAGGAGGUUGGUGUUCAUCAGCUGUCUUCGUGUAUUAUUUCAACAAGAGCGAUGAAUGGUCUUCAAGAUGCCUGGUUGGAUGGCCUCUGGUGGAGCUGGGCUGCAGGUGACCCGGCAGGUGUGAGCCGGCGGCGGGAAGGGACCAGACACAGCUCUGCCCCAGCAGCCCGCCGGGCUCUGCUCACCGUCUGCUCCCCACGCCGAGGUCCUUUGGAGUCUCCAUGGAGGUUAGUGGCUGUGAAGAUGGCUUCCCCCCAUCUGUGUCCUCUGGGUCUUGUGGGAAAAAGGCACCAAGAGCUCCGUGGGUGUGCACCCGUGACAGUAGAGGAGACAGGCACCUGACAACCGUGACCCCAGGCCUGGAGCCGCCAGGCCCCUGGAGGGAAGGAGCAUGCUUGCCAGAUGAAGACUUCAGUUAUACCAUUGACAGAAUGCUGGUCGUUCCAUGAGAGCACAGUCCGGAUGUUGGAGGGAGAGGUGUGUCAUUCCCGGCGGAGGGUCGUCGUGUUCCCGUGGACUCUGCGGCUCUUACCCACAGGUCUGUGGCACCGUGCUGCGGGGCUCCUUGUCUCCUGCGGCCUGUGUCUGGGGGCCGGGAGUGCACCAUCUGACACCCUCGGGGCUGCCCUGAUGGUUCCGGCUGGGCAUGGCCUAUUUCCCGGAGGGGCUCAGGAAUGGGUGAGUCCUGCCGUCUCUGCCCUGGAGUAGUUCACCACUGUUUGCACUGGACAUUUUCUCCAAAUGGGGAUGGAAUGAAACGGUCUGCAUAACCAUGCUCAGGCCACAAAUGCUAUGAUUUGUCUGUUUCUCGUUGAAUGUGUGUUGUUUAGGAAGGAGAACACAGAAAUAAAAAUCUUGUGUAUAUCA
rnacentral:lncRNA from 1 species